rnacentral:rRNA from 1 species
AGUGAACGCUGGCGGCGUGCUUAAUACAUGCAAGUCGAACGAUGAAGUCCUAGCUUGCUAGGAUGGAUUAGUGGCGCACGGGUGAGUAAUAUAUAGUUAAUCUGCCUUGCACUGAGGAACAACAGUUGGAAACGAUUGCUAAUACCUCAUACUCCAACUUUACAUAAGUUAAGUUGGGAAAGUCUUUUCGGUGCAAGAUGAGACUAUAUCGUAUCAGCUAGUUGGUAAGGUAAUGGCUUACCAAGGCUAUGACGCGUAACUGGUCUGAGAGGAUGAUCAGUCACAUUGGAACUGAGACACGGUCCAAACUCCUACGGGAGGCAGCAGUAAGGAAUAUUGUGCAAUGGGGGAAACCCUGACGAAGCAACGCCGCGUGGAGGAUGACACUUUUCGGAGCGUAAACUCCUUUUGUUAGGGAAGAAUAAUGACGGUACCUAACGAAUAAGCACCGGCUAACUCCGUG